rnacentral:rRNA from 1 species
UACGAAGGGGGCUAGCGUUGCUCGGAAUUACUGGGCGUAAAGGGCGCGUAGGCGGAUAUUUAAGUCAGGGGUGAAAUCCCAGAGCUCAACUCUGGAACUGCCUUUGAUACUGGGUAUCUUGAGUAUGGAAGAGGUAAGUGGAAUUGCGAGUGUAGAGGUGAAAUUCGUAGAUAUUCGCAGGAACACCAGUGGCGAAGGCGGCUUACUGGUCCAUAACUGACGCUGAGGUGCGAAAGCGUGGGAGCAAACAGG